ensembl:miRNA dre-mir-732 dre-mir-732
AGAUAAAGUUCCACCGAGGGUUAAAUGUUUUGGUAUUUUAAUAGUGUCAAUCUCAAAGCAGAGAACUCUCGGUGGAGAUGUAUUU